UACGGAGGGGACUAGCGUUGUUCGGAAUUACUGGGCGUAAAGCGCACGUAGGCGGAUUUGUAAGUUAGGGGUGAAAUCCCGGGGCUCAACCUCGGAACUGCCUUUGAUACUGCAAAUCUCGAGUCCGGAAGAGGUGAGUGGAAUGCCUAGUGUAGAGGUGAAAUUCGUAGAUAUUAGGAAGAACACCAGUGGCGAAGGCGGCUCACUGGUCCGGUACUGACGCUGAGGUGCGAAAGCGUGGGGAGCAAACAGG
rnacentral:rRNA from 1 species